UACGUAGGUGGCAAGCGUUGUCCGGAUUUACUGGGUUUAAAGGGUGCGUAGGUGGGUCUGUAAGUCAGUGGUGAAAUCUCCGAGCUUAACUCGGAAACUGCCAUUGAUACUAUAGGUCUUGAAUUAUCUGGAGGUAAGCGGAAUAUGUCAUGUAGCGGUGAAAUGCUUAGAUAUGACAUAGAACACCAAUUGCGAAGGCAGCUUACUACAGGGACAUUGACACUGAGGCACGAAAGCGUGGGGAUCAAACAGG
rnacentral:rRNA from 1 species